rnacentral:rRNA from 1 species
CCUACGGGGGGCUGCAGUGGGGAAUCUUGCGCAAUGGUCGAAAGACUGACGCAGCGACGCCGCGUGCGGGAGGAAGGUCUUCGGAUUGUAAACCGCUGUCAGGAGGGACGAAUGCUCAGGGGAGGCAAUGCCUCUGAGUUGACGGUACCUCCAGAGGAAGCACCGGCUAACUCCGUGCCAGCAGCCGCGGUAAUACGGAGGGUGCGAGCGUUGUUCGGAAUCAUUGGGCGUAAAGCGCGCGCAGGCGGCUUUAGGUAAGUCCAGGGGUGAAAUGCCGAGGCUCAACCUCGUGCAUGCCCCGGAUACUGCCGAGCUAGAGACACGUAGAGGCGGGUGGAAUUCCGGGUGUAGCGGUGGAAUGCGUAGAGAUCCGGAAGAACACCGGAGGCGAAGGCGGCCCGCUGGGCGUGGUCUGACGCUGAGGCGCGAAAGCGUGGGGA